CCUCCUGGCUGGGCGGGGCGCAGGGCACAGGAGUUGGGUUGGUCUGGGAGGAGAGCUUCUGCGAGUUCUUGCUACACCGAACUCAGGAAAGUGGCAGGGAGUCUAGCCGGUGGGAGCUGUCUUGAGAUUGACUGUCGCUGUUUCCUCGGAGAAAAGGUGUCCCCUUCCCACGCACCUCCCAGCCUCUGUGCUGACAGGAAACUUGAAAUCAGAGCUUAAUGACUUGAGGGAAGAGGCCUGGGUCGGGAUUACUUGGGGUGUGGAAAGUUAUUAGAACUUCUGGUGGUUGCCUUAGGCCUUUCUAAGAUUUUUUCUCACGUAGUUGGUGUCCCUGUGGCCUUGUUGUGUCUUGGUUCGCAUUCUCCUCCAUCCAGAGCAUGGGUUGACUCAACUGUGGCAGACAGCAAAAGUCAGGCUGAGAGGUGCCCUGGGAGGGACCAUGGUGCCAAGGCAGUUGUGGGAGAAACUGAAGCAGUCAUUUCUCUUCCUGAGCAGUGCCUCACUCCUUCUGGGGCUGGCUUUACUGGUCAUACAGCCUAACAUUGCCCCUUUUGCUUAUUUCUUCCUCUGCUUGGCUGGCUUCUGCUUUCUUGCCUGCCUCUUGUCCUGUGUGGUGGAACGGAGCCUGCGAUCUAGGCAGAGCUCAAGGCAGACUGAGAAUUCAGAGGCCCCAGGCACUGCACGGGUCAAUGAGGCUUUUGAGGUACCAACCUAUGAACAGGCCGUAGUGAUGGACUCAGAAACACAGCACCACCUCCAAGAGCUGGAGCAACCACCCCCUUACAGCAGUGUCGUUAUAGCCCCAGGAGUUGAGGGGGCACAACCUAGCCAGCUAGAGAGGCCCAGCCCAGGAAGGCUGAAGAGACGAGUGGGCUCAGAGGGGACAAUGUCUCGCAGAGGAAAUCCUGGAGGAGCUCUUCGACUUAGGGGCCCACGAGUUGCAUCCACUGCUCCCGAUCUGCAAAGCUUGAGGGUGGCCCCCAAAUUGGAGCCCACUACUCCACCCCCUGCCUACGACAUCUGUGUUGCUUACCCUGAAGAUGACAAUGUUUUCUAUGAAGACAAAUGGAUACUUCCCUAGGCCAUGCUCUCAGAACUUAUCAUGGCAGCACUCCUCUGCCCAGCAUUUCCUACUAUCUACUUAAUCAGAAACUGGUUUUGCCUGCCCGUACAUCACAGACGGGGUCUUCAAACCAGCCGGGAGGCAGACUAUGGAAAGCCCUUCCCAUUGGAGAUAUGGGUGGCAGUUGGAUUCAUCUGGAAAAAUUCUGGAGCCCAUCUGACGUCCAGCAUUUCCAGAAUAAGGUGGAAGAUGAGAGAGAGAGAAAGAAACUGGAGUGGUACUUCGGAGUGACAGCUGUUUCAUCAAACCUCGCUUAGAUUCCUGGUGGGGUAUUACAUAACAGGGCAAUUCACACGAUUUGAUAACCGUGCCUUGGGACAACUAGUAAAUAGGAGAGAGAAAUCUAAAUACGGACAGCACGGGGGCCAUCAGGUAGGAUAAGUGCGACCAGGAGCAACUCCAGGCUCGGAGACGAGCGCCUUCUAGUGCUUUCCAUCUUCGGCGGACCCGGGCCGGGCCGUGGAAGUUCAAGGCGAACAAUGAGGAGCCCAACCCUCUUUGGUUUCGCUGUAGUUAUUGCAGGAGGGGCCGGAGGUACCAGGGGAGGGGGCUGCGGUUUCCGCGGGAAUCGAUAACCAAUCAAAUCUCCCGGCGGGAGAAGCCCCGCUCUUUUCCCCGCCCCUUCCCGUUCCUCCCAGAGCCUCCUCUCUGCCCAUUGGGUGGUGCGGGUCCCGGCAAGCAGUGUGCGCUUGCGCGAGCCCCG